GCGGCACCCACCGCUGUUAUGGUCGCCGCUCGUUAGUUAGCUUAACUGAGCUUAAGCUGUGGCUUUGGGGUUCGCUCUUCCUCCGUCCACACAAGCCCCAUCGAGCCUCUGCCUCUCGCGUUCUCUGAGUUUCGGUGGUCCAGAUCAGCUGCCGUCCGUUCCUCCUACUCCGCUGCCAGGGAGGUGCCAUCUUUGCCCUUUUUCCCUCUCUGGACGCUGGCCUUCUGUUUUUUCUCUUGAGUCAGGUGC